CCUUCUUUUAACCUAAACCUCUUCCUCUCUUCCGCUUCCGCUUCCUCUUCUUCUGCCCUCAAACACUAUUCCCGGGUGAAGUUACCCUGUUUCCUUCCUUCCUUCCUCUCGUCAAUCAAUUCCAUAGUGAAGAUUCCAUCACGUAACCGUAUGAGUCGUACGAGGCGGCUCGCGGCUUCGCGAGAGGCGGUCACUCGCGGCUUUGCGAUGCGGUCGCUCGUAGCUUUGCGAGGCGGCCGUUCGUGGCUUCGCGAGGGGGUUGUUCGCAGCCUCCCCGUCGCUCGCUGCCUUAUUUCUACUAAAAUGACUUCCAAUUAAAGCAGAAAUGACAUCCUCCUCUUCAUCAUCAAGCUCGUCUUGGGUGACACCGGCAAGUAUGGGAUCAAGUGGCCAUCGCACGACCCUCCAGAGCCCAAAGCCUCCAUUGGUGGUCCCUGAAGUGAACCAUUUCACAAGCAGAGGAGUAGUUUAUUGAUGGUACACACCAGGAAUUUGACUCCAUCAUAUUGGCGACGGGCUAUAGAAGCAAUGCUACUGCUUAUAGCUCAAGGACUUGAGGCAUGGACUUAUUUCGAAGAUUUUGGGAGGCUUGUAUCGUCUUAUGGUCGCACUUCUAUUGAGAAUUAGUGUGGUAACUAAAUAAAAUUGAUACUGAGUUGUAUUAUUUUUAUUUUAUUUUAUUUUGUUACUGUUAUGCUUGCUUUCUCAGUAUACAACUAUUAAGAAUAUUUGAUGUAGACCACAUGGUCACGUCCAGGAAUCUAUAGUGGAUAUGGUACUCGCUAUCCAAAUGAGAUAUGUGAAUGUGAAAAUGGUCAGAUUGGCAUCGAUUGCUCUAUUGGUACUUUUUAUGGAAUCCCCUCUGCCCAUUCACUUUCGGUGUACUUUUUCUAUUCCUGGAACCGUUUGAUGUUCAGCAGUCAACAUUUAGUCUCCAAUGGCAGGUGAUGAGAAUUUGUCAGAGUUAUACAAAUUUGAAGUAGGUAUUACAUUUGACUAUUUAAUUUUUGUAAUGUUUAAUUUAUAUGAAAUAAAAUAUUGAUAUAUAUUUUUGAUUGUAGAAUUGAAUCCAUUAAAAUAGGAUUGUACUUUCCU